UGUGUGACGUGCGGUCGUGACGUGGCCAGCUUCCUACACAGUCUCCGUGUUGGUGUUACAGGGUGACAGCUCUUCAUACGAUUUCGUCUUUGACCUUUCAUCUGAACCAUGGUUUGUGUGGACUGGUCAUCUCUGAAAGUGUGACAUCAUUACCCAGAGAAUGUCACGACAACAGCCACGACCAUCACCUCCACCAACGGCGGCACAACACCGCCCUGCCUGCAGUGGAGAGACAUGCUGUUGUUGUACUGGUAUAGCAUUAGUAACGACUCGGGUAUGAUGAAGGGACUGAAAGAAGCGGGUAUCCCAGUGCGGGUGAUGAAGGACGAUGACAUCGAGGACGUUGCCACGGCUCGCAGUGACGUGGUGUGGGUGACGAGUGGACAGCGUGUUCGUGGUCUGGAGAGAAAAGUUGUUGUCUGUCUGUAUGAUCGUGCUACAGUCCAGUUUUACUCCAUAUCCCGGUGUACGUCACAACUUGUGAUUGUCUACCCUUAAAACGAACGAAAGGGUAUCUGACGUCAUCACAUCGUGUGUAUGACACGUUUAUAUCUACAUGUUGUGUAUUGCACUCACAACAGUCGGUGUCUCUCUUUACACAACAACUAGUGUUAACUUUAAUAACAUACGUAUGCACACAGAUGAGGUGACACUUUUAUUGCAGCAUGUAAAUACGUUUACAACAUAGCACACCACACAUAAACUAAACUUUUACGAAAAAAUUCUUUUUUAUCAACAAUUCGAGAAAGUACAUGCACUGUAGCUGCAACAUCACCAGGAGCAGCAGUAACUGUGUGUCGGGCUGUGGCAGUAAAACGUUUAAGACAAAAAAGAUUUUUCUCUAAAUAUUAACUUUUCUUGUUCUUUUCUGCAGUGGACUGUUGAAUUUGUUCCAGUAAUAUCUUUUCUUGUAUUUGUUUAUGAAUUCACACACAGACUGUGUCAUACUAAGUCGUGUACAGACCUCCCUUCAAACCGUUAUUUUGCCAGAGCAGCUGUCAACAUGUCUCCAAGAUCUGAGAAUGACGACCCUCACGUGACCUGCCCAGUUGGUUACCCAAAUAAUAAAACCCAUUCUCGUGUGACUUUGUCAUUUUUCUCACAGUUACCUUCUACUCUCCUCAGGAGACGAUUUUGAUUAUCUUGCUAAUUUGGUCUCUGAAUGAUUAAACGACAAGAAGUGAACAGGUCUCGACUUUCAAAUGAAUAAAGACUUUUAAUUGUUA